AUUGAACGCUGGCGGCAGGCUUAACACAUGCAAGUCGAGCGGAGAGAGGUAGCUUGCUACUGAUCUUAGCGGCGGACAGGUGAGUAAUGCUUAGGAAUCUGCCUAUUAGUGGGGGACAACAUUUCGAAAGGAAUGCUAAUACCGCAUACGUCCUACGGGAGAAAGCAGGGGAUCUUCGGACCUUGCGCUAAUAGAUGAGCCUAAGUCGGAUUAGCUAGUUGUUGGGGUAAAGGCCUACCAAGGCGACGAUCUGUAGCGGGUCUGAGAGGAUGAUCCGCCACACUGGGACUGAUACACUGGCCAGACUCCUACGGGAGGCAGCAGUGGGGAAUAUUGGACAAUGGGCGCAAGCCUGAUCCAGCCAUGCCGCGUGUGUGAAGAAGGCCUUAUGGUUGUAAAGCACUUUAAGCGAGGAGGAGGCUACUUUAGUUAAUACCUAGAGAUAGUGGACGUUACUCGCAGAAUAAGCACCGGCUAACUCUGUGCCAGCAGCCGCGGUAAAAC
rnacentral:rRNA from 1 species